rnacentral:snoRNA from 1 species
GCCCCGUGGUUCCUGGCCGCUGUGGUCAGUACAGCUCGCCAGGCUGCGUAGACGGGCCCACAGCAAGCCGCAGUGAUGUAUGCGUGGGGUCCGCGUGCCCCUGGCAGCCCCCACAGCCCGGUCACUGGGACACGC